AGUGAACGCUGGCGGUAGGCCUAACACAUGCAAGUCGAACGGCAGCACAGUAAGAGCUUGCUCUUACGGGUGGCGAGUGGCGGACGGGUGAGGAAUACAUCGGAAUCUACUUUUUCGUGGGGGAUAACGUAGGGAAACUUACGCUAAUACCGCAUACGACCUACGGGUGAAAGCAGGGGAUCUUCGGACCUUGCGCGAUUGAAUGAGCCGAUGUCGGAUUAGCUAGUUGGCGGGGUAAAGGCCCACCAAGGCGACGAUCCGUAGCUGGUCUUAGAGGAUGAUCAGCCACACUGGAACUGAGACACGGUCCAGACUCCUACGGGAGGCAGCAGUGGGGAAUAUUGGACAAUGGGCGCAAGCCUGAUCCAGCCAUACCGCGUGGGUGAAGAAGGCCUUCGGGUUGUAAAGCCCUUUUGUUGGGAAAGAAAAGCAGCAGGUUAAUACCCCGCUGUUCUGACGGUACCCAAAGAAUAAGCACCGGCUAACUUCGUG
rnacentral:rRNA from 1 species